rnacentral:rRNA from 1 species
GAUGAACGCUGGCGGCGUGCCUAAUACAUGCAAGUCGAGCGAACAGACGAGGAGCUUGCUCCUCUGACGUUAGCGGCGGACGGGUAAGUAACACGUGGAUAACCUACCUAUAAGACUGGGAUAACUUCGGGAAACCGGAGCUAAUACCGGAUAAUAUAUUGAACCGCAUGGUUCAAUAGUGAAAGACGGUUUUGCUGUCACUUAUAGAUGGAUCCGCGCCGCAUUAGCUAGUUGGUAAGGUAACGGCUUACCAAGGCAACGAUGCGUAGCCGACCUGAGAGGGUGAUCGGCCACACUGGAACUGAGACACGGUCCAGACUCCUACGGGAGGCAGCAGUAGGGAAUCUUCCGCAAUGGGCGAAAGCCUGACGGAGCAACGCCGCGUGAGUGAUGAAGGUCUUCGGAUCGUAAAACUCUGAUAUUAGGGAAGAACAAAUGUGUAAGUAACUAUGCACGUCUUGACGGUACCUAAUCAGAAAGCCACGGCUAACUACGUG